CGGUACGUACUGGUAUUGUUGGUUUCUCCCUUCUGACGAACCAUGAUGUCAUUUAUUUGGUGUCGUGGGGAAUCAGGACUGUUACUUUGAAAAAAUUAGAGUGUUUAAAGCAGGCUCACGCUUGAAUACAUUAGCAUGGAAUAAUGGAAUAGGACGUUUGAUUCUAUUUUGUUGGUUUCUAGGAUCGACGUAAUGAUUAAUAGGGAUAGUUGGGGGCAUUAGUAUUCAAUUGUCAGAGGUGAAAUUCUUGGAUUUAUUGAAGACUAACUACUGCGAAAGCAUUUGCCAAGGAUGUUUUCAUUAAUCAAGAACGAAAGUUAGGGGAUCGAAGACGAUCAGAUACCGUCGUAGUCUUAACCAUAAACUAUGCCGACUAGGGAUCGGAUGAUGUUAAUUUUUUAAUGACUCAUUCGGCGCCUUACG
rnacentral:rRNA from 1 species